CAGAAGAGGACAGUGGAACUCCAUGUGUAGCGGUGAAAUGCGUAGAUAUAUGGAAGAACACCAGUGGCGAAGGCGGCUGUCUGGUCUGUAACUGACGCUGAGGCUCGAAAGUAUGGGUAGCAAACAGGAUUAGAUACCCUGGUAGUCCAUACCGUAAACGAUGAAUGCUAAGUGUUGGAGGGUUUCCGCCCUUCAGUGCUGCAGCUAACGCAUUAAGCAUUCCGCCUGGGGAGUACGGCCGCAAGGCUGAAACUCAAAGGAAUUGACGGGGGCCCGCACAAGCGGUGGAGCAUGUGGUUUAAUUCGAAGCUACGCGAAGAACCUUACCAGGUCUUGACAUACUAUGCAAAUCUAAGAGAUUAGACGUUCCCUUCGGGGACAUGGAUACAGGUGGUGCAUGGUUGUCGUCAGCUCGUGUCGUGAGAUGUUGGGUUAAGUCCCGCAACGAGCGCAACCCUUAUUAUCAGUUGCCAGCAUUAAGUUGGGCACUCUGGUGAGACUGCCGGUGACAAACCGGAGGAAGGUGGGGAUGACGUCAAAUCAUCAUGCCCCUUAUGACCUGGGCUACACACGUGCUACAAUGGAUGGUACAACGAGUUGCGAACUCGCGAGAGUAAGCUAAUCUCUUAAAGCCAUUCUCAGUUCGGAUUGUAGGCUGCAACUCGCCUACAUGAAGUCGGAAUCGCUAGUAAUCGCGGAUCAGCAUGCCGCGGUGAAUACGUUCCCGGGCCUUGUACACACCGCCCGUCACACCAUGAGAGUUUGUAACACCCAAAGUCGGUGGGGUAACCUUUUAGGAACCAGCCGCCUAAGGUGGGACAGAUGAUUAGGGUGAAGUCGUAANCAAGGUAGCCGUA
rnacentral:rRNA from 1 species